GACGAACGCUGGCGGCGUGCUUAACACAUGCAAGUCGAACGGAAAGGCCCUGCUUUUGUGGGGUGCUCGAGUGGCGAACGGGUGAGUAACACGUGAGUAACCUGCCCUUGACUUUGGGAUAACUUCAGGAAACUGGGGCUAAUACCGGAUAGGAGCUCCUGCUGCAUGGUGGGGGUUGGAAAGUUUCGGCGGUUGGGGAUGGACUCGCGGCUUAUCAGCUUGUUGGUGGGGUAGUGGCUUACCAAGGCUUUGACGGGUAGCCGGCCUGAGAGGGUGACCGGCCACAUGGGGACUGCGAUACGGCCCAGACGCCUACGGGAGGCAGCAGUGGGGAAUAUUGCACAAUGGGGGGAAGCCUGAUGCAGCAACGCCGCGUGCGGGAUGACGGCCUUCGGGUUGUAAACCGCUUUCGCCUGUGACGAGGCGUGAGUGACGGUAAUGGGUAAAGAAGCACCGGCUAACUACGUG
rnacentral:rRNA from 1 species